rnacentral:rRNA from 1 species
CAGUGAAAUUGAACUCGCUGUGAAGAUGCAGUGUACCCGCGGCAAGACGGAAAGACCCCGUGAACCUUUACUAUAGCUUGACACUGAACAUUGAGCCUUGAUGUGUAGGAUAGGUGGGAGGCUUUGAAGUGUGGACGCCAGUCUGCAUGGAGCCGACCUUGAAAUACCACCCUUUAAUGUUUGAUGUUCUAACGUGGACCCGUGAUCCGGGUUGCGGACAGUGUCUGGUGGGUAGUUUGACUGGGGCGGUCUCCUCCUAAAGAGUAACGGAGGAGCACGAAGGUUGGCUAAUCCUGGUCGGACAUCAGGAGGUUAGUGCAAUGGCAUAAGCCAGCUUGACUGCGAGCGUGACGGCGCGAGCAGGUGCGAAAGCAGGUCAUAGUGAUCCGGUGGUUCUGAAUGGAAGGGCCAUCGCUCAACGGAUAAAAGGUACUCCGGGGAUAACAGGCUGAUACCGCCCAAGAGUUCAUAUCGACGGCGGUGUUUGGCACCUCGAUGUCGGCUCAUCACAUCCUGGGGCUGAAGUAGGUCCCAAGGGUAUGGCUGUUCGCCAUUUAAAGUGGUACGCGAGCUGGGUUUAGAACGUCGUGAGACAGUUCGGUCCCUAUCUGCCGUGGGCGCUGGAGAACUGAGGGGGGCUGCUCCUAGUACGAGAGGACCGGAGUGGACGCAUCACUGGUGUUCGGGUUGUCAUGCCAAUGGCACUGCCCGGUAGCUAAAUGCGGAAGAGAUAAGUGCUGAAAGCAUCUAAGCACGAAACUUGCCCCGAGAUGAGUUCUCCCUGACCCUUUAAGGGUCCUGAAGGAACGUUGAAGACGACGACGUUGAUAGGCCGGGUGUGUAAGCG